AGUGAACGCUGGCGGUAGGCCUAACACAUGCAAGUCGAACGGCAGCACAGUAAGAGCUUGCUCUUACGGGUGGCGAAUGGCGGACGGGUGAGGAAUACAUCGGAAUCUACUUUUUCGUGGGGGAUAACGUAGGGAAACUUACGCUAAUACCGCAUACGACCUACGGGUGAAAGCAGGGGAUCUUCGGAGCUUGCGCGGUUGAAUGAGCCGAUGUCGGGUUAGUUGGUCGGCGGGGUAAAUGCCCACCAAGGCGAGGAUCCGUAGCUGGUCUGAGAGGAUGGUCAGCCGCACGGGAACGGGGACAGGGUCCAUACUACUAAGAGAGGCAGCAGUGGGGAAUAGUGGACAAAGGGCGCAAGCCUGAUACAGCCAUCCCGCGUGGGAUACGGAGGCCUUCGGUUUGUAAAGACCUUUUGUUGGGAAAGAAAAGCAGCAGGUUAAUACCCAGCUGUUCUGACGGUACCCAAAGAAUAAGCACCGGCUAACUUCGUG
rnacentral:rRNA from 1 species